rnacentral:tRNA from 1 species
GCCCCGGUAGCUCAGUUGGAUAGAGCGGCGGUUUCCUAAACCGCAGGUCGGAGGUUCAAGCCCUCUCCGGGGUACCA